rnacentral:RNase_P_RNA from 1 species
GGAGCAUGCCGGGCCAACGCGCCGCAAGGUGAGGAAAGUCCGGGCUUCGCAGGGCAGGGUGCAGGAUAACGUCCUGUCGAGGUAACUCGAAGGAAAGUGCCACAGAAACAUACCGCCCGCGUUCGCGCGGGUAAGGGUGAAAUCGUGAGGUAAGAGCUCACGGCGGGACCCGAGAGGAAACCCGCGGGUAAACCCCACCCGAAGCAAGACCGGCAGUACGGCUCCAACCGGGGCCCGGGCGGCCCGCCCGAUCUGCCUACGUCGCAUCAGGUGGCCGGUAACGGUCACCGCAGAGAGAUGCUGGCCGCCGGCUUCGGCCGGUACAGAACCCGGCUUACAAGCAUGCUCUCCCC